UGGUCUAAUGAUGAUGCCUGGCGUGUGAGUCAUAUAGGAUGAAUUCUGUGUCCAGAGUCUGAGGUCCAA